UACGUAGGUGGCAAGCGUUAUCCGGAAUUAUUGGGCGUAAAGCGCGCGCGGGCGGUCCUUUAAGUCUGAUGUGAAAGCCCACGGCUCAACCGUGGAGGGUCAUUGGAAACUGGGGGACUUGAGUACAGAAGAGAAGAGUGGAAUUCCACGUGUAGCGGUGAAAUGCGUAGAGAUGUGGAGGAACACCAGUGGCGAAGGCGACUCUUUGGUCUGUAACUGACGCUGAGGCGCGAAAGCGUGGGGAGCAAACAGG
rnacentral:rRNA from 1 species